AGCGAACGCUGGCGGCAGGUUUAACACAUGCAAGUCGAGCGGAUGUAGCAAUACAUCAGCGGCAGACGGGUGAGUAACACGUGGGAACGUACCUUUUGGUUCGGAACAACACAGGGAAACUUGUGCUAAUACCGGAUAAGCCCUUACGGGGAAAGAUUUAUCGCCGAAAGAUCGGCCCGCGUCUGAUUAGCUAGUUGGUGAGGUAAUGGCUCACCAAGGCGACGAUCAGUAGCUGGUCUGAGAGGAUGAUCAGCCACAUUGGGACUGAGACACGGCCCAAACUCCUACGGGAGGCAGCAGUGGGGAAUAUUGGACAAUGGGCGCAAGCCUGAUCCAGCCAUGCCGCGUGAGUGAUGAAGGCCCUAGGGUUGUAAAGCUCUUUUGUGCGGGAAGAUAAUGACGGUCC
rnacentral:rRNA from 1 species